rnacentral:lncRNA from 1 species
UCAAUGGAUGUGUAACUGAUGUGAAUCUGCAAUCUGUGUAUGGGGUGAAGGUGGGAGUUCAUAACCCACUUGAAUCAAAGUGUGGAAUACGAUAUGUCAAGAAAUUUGUAAUGUUUUGAACAACCCACAAUAAAAAAUUUAAAAAAAAAAAAAAAAAAAAAGAAAAUCAUGGAGACAUUGGAAAAAAAAAAAAAAAAACCCUAAACUUAGAAAAGCCAUGACUUCAGGUGACUGCGUUAGAGCAAUCUCACUGCAGGAGUGGCUGUAGCCAGUUGAGGAGAGAAUGUGGGGAGAGCAAGCACAGAGUCCUCUGGAAGAACUUAGGGUGGGAGGAAGGAGGGAAUGGACAGGAUGGUGGCUGAAGGAAGUGCAGGGUUGAUCAUGGGUCAUUCAAAGAGUGGAAAAGCUUAAGCAAGGCUGAGGCUGAAGGGAAGGAACCGGCAGUAGGAAAAGGUAAAAGAAAGAAAGAAAGAAAAAAACUAAUAUAACAUGGUCCGUAAGAAGUGGCAGAGAUGGUGAAAUGGGAUCCAGAGGAAAGUAUGGCAUUAAACAGGAAGAACCUAAAGUUUUACACUUCUGCCUCUAGAGGGAUGGGUAGAAGGAAGGGAGUGGGCAAUGGGGAGUGGAAGAGGAAGUGAGGAAGGUCAUGCUGCAAGGCUGCAGGACAGAGGUUGUCAGUAUCAUUUCAUUCCCCUGAGAUUGAACAAAGUGAUUAAACAGGGCAACCCCAUUUUGAGAAGUAUCUUACCAUCCUUGUCAAAAUUCUCUCUCGCCAACUAUUUUAGACAUCUAUUAAAUUGCUGUGACCAAAAGACCUG